UACGUAGGGUGCAAGCGUUGUCCGGAAUUAUUGGGCGUAAAGGGCUCGUAGGCGGUCCAUCGCGUCGGGAGUGAAAAGCUGGGGCUCAACCCCAGUCCUGCUUCCGAUACGGGUGGACUAGAGGUAUGCAGGGGAGAACGGAAUCCUGGUUGUAGCGGUGAAAUGACGCAGAUAUCAGGAGGAACACCGGUGGCGAAGGCGGUUCUCUGGGCAUUACCUGACGCUGAGGAGCGAAAGCGUGGGGAGCAAACAGG
rnacentral:rRNA from 1 species